rnacentral:lncRNA from 1 species
AUGAUACAUCAAGGCUUCCGAGUUACACGGAAAGUGUUACAUCUAAGUUUUAAGUUAAUUAAAAUUUCAACCAUUCAUGUAUUUUCACAGGACCUGAAGGAAAAGAAAGAGGUGAAGGAAAAGACAGACGUGAAGGAAAAGACAGACGUAAAGGAAAAGAAAGAGGUGACCGAAGAAGUUGAGGUGGAGAAAAAGAAAGAGAACGGCAGCGGAGACGCACCUGCCAAUGGCAAUGGAACAACAAAUGGUGCCUCACACAAGAAAGAGCAUGCUGAAAAAGAAGAAGAAGACGAUGAAGCUGCAGAAGCAGAGGGGGAGGAGACAAAGAAUGGCGUAGAUAAGGAAGUUGAUGGACUUGCAGUGAAACGUCCCGCUGAGGAGAAGGAGGAAAAGGUUGAAACGAAGAAACAGAAGACAGAAGAAAAGGAGGAUUCCACAAAAGCUGAAGUGAAAGCCUAGACCUUACAUUGCAGCCCUGUUCUAUAGCUGUCUGCAUGGUCAAUUUGACCUGGUAGAGUUUGUGCUUUUAUGUAUAUUUUACUCAUUUUCUUUUUGCCUGGGAAAAUAUUCUAUUGCACUGGAGUCCCAUAACAUCAUGGCCCACUUUUUUCCUUUUUUUUUUAUGAAAUGUUAUUUAUUGGUUCAGAGUGACAUUUUUUUUAGGUUUCUCUUUAACAAAGAAAAAAAAGGAAAAAGUAUUUUGUACGUAUGAGUUCAAAGCACAAUUUCUACUGUGUGUUCCGACCAGCUGAUUCAGAUUCAGACAAGCAUCUGCACCCUCUCACAAGGUUCUGACAUUUUCACGAAUGACCUCUCUGACUGACGGAAGACCAAAGAUAAGUUUUAAGCAGGGGGCUAAUACAUGCUUCUUAAAUCCCUUUUGUUUGUGCUGCUAGUAGUUAAUCCCUCGCUUGGCUGAUCUGUGCAUACAGCAGAUGGCACUUACCAAUGAAGGGGUCUCAUGGAGCCCAAUCAAAAAUGAAAAAGACUGCUAUCCCCCCUUUUGGGGGCGUGGGCUGGCAUGUCUUGUGCGUAUCAGCCCCUCUUAAAUCUUAACGAUUUGGUCGUUUUUUUGUUCUCUAUCCAUUUUGGUCAGAUUCUACCUUUGGUAUCCAUUGUACAGUUUUGUCUCGGAUUACUUUUCCUGUUUGCAAUUUACAGCUGAGAGUUCUGAAGUAUUAAGUCUACAGUCGCUACAGUGGUCUUAAACCGAACAACAUGUCAGGUGUGGUGCUCUCAGCUGUUUCCGAGCAGUUUUAUGGAUUGUGUUUUUGGUUGCUUCGACCACUGCUCUGUAUAUUCUGGAUCUGGAUUAUAAAUAAAUCAGUCUUGUCUUUUUAAGUUUGGUGUGGG